UUCACCGGAGAGCAUGAGUCUUAGCUGAGUUUGUUCCCAGCGCCUGAUCUGGAGCUGAUCUCUUCUGUUUCCAUUUGCUUGGGCUAGCCUGUGUCCUGAGGCUCUGCCUGCCACCAGGUGGGCCUCACGUUGGCUUUGCAUUGUAUUCCUUGGGACUUGCCUGGUCCUACUUCCCUUGGCCAGGGUCUUCCCACUCAGAAGCUCCAAGCCCCGCAAAGAAAUCCAGAGGGGAAAGGCUGCUUCGCAGCGCCUGGCUGGCUCUUCUCUCCAGGACCCCCCAGCCAGAUCACUCUGCCACUGGUACAGCUGACACAAGUGCAGGCCACGGAAUCAGGUGGUCAUGGGCUCAGGUAGAGCUAGGACCUCAGAACGCCAUCCUAGCCAAUGCUCCUUUUCCAGGUCCGGAAAGAGAGGGGGUUUACUUAAGACCGAAAGUUCAAGUCUCUGACUUUCAGCUUGCUGGGUAACCAGUAUGACCUGGAGCUGGCCCUUAACCUUCCUCAGAGCCUGUUUCCCAAUUUCUAAAAUGAGGAUCGCCGCACGGUUCUCCUAAAUCUGCAGCAUGGCAUAGCCAUGAUACAGAUUGUCCUGUGAAGUGGAAUGGGACAGCCUCUGUUCAGCUCCUCUGAAAAUGGAGACAGAGAGGGGACCUGUGCAUCUUGCCAAGGUCAAGGGAUUGGAAUAGAGAGCCAUGCCCCUCUAGGACACUCGAGAUCGCCCGAAGGGGAGGAGCCCAGCAGAGAGGGAGAACGCCGUAGUCACUGUCCUGAGGCCAGGAUGAAGGAGGAGGACCAGGCAGAGGGCAUGGUGCCGGCUCCGCUCCCAUCGCUGCCCCUCCGAGACGUGGCCGGGGACCUGGGGAAACAGGCCCCAACCCCUCCUGUAGGGGCCUUUGCCUGUGAUCCUGCUGGUCGCCGCUUCUGCCUUUGUCAUAGCAUGUACCUGUCCUGGCUCAAGGCGCUCUGACCAGUCCUCCAGCAAAUAGAAGCUCUGCGCCAUCACACGUUCCACCCUGGAGGACGAAGGGCUGCACACUAGGAGGUGGCCCAGGCGCGGGGCUCCAGGCUUCUGGGGGUUAAUGACUCCCUCUCCCCAGCUGUCCUCCCCUUGGUGCUCCUCUUCCUCCCUCCUCCUGUUCACAGCAGGCAGGGCCUGGACCUAGGAGCCAGGCCGCUGUGCUGUUGCCAGGGGAGCCGGGAGCAGGAUCUGAGCUAUGCAGGGAAAAGGCCCAGCCUGUCAAAGUGUCUGAGAUGAACCGCCGCCGUCCCCAUGCAGCUGGGCUCAGACGUGUCUCGGCUCUUGUUCUGUGCCUGAGAAUGGCGACACCCAGUGAGGUUCAAGGGCAAACUCACUAUUCAUUAGUCAGAGGUUCUUGACGUCCCUGUCUCUCCCAGGGAUGGGUUCCUCCCCCCCCCCCCCCCCGCCCUUUUCUCUCCCUCCUGUGACACAUUCCUGGGUGCCUUUGGUGAGGACUACACACCCUCCUCCUCCUGCCCAACUCGUCUCCAGAGGCCCCUGAAUAAACUCCCCCCAAGGAGACCAGGCAGGGCAGAGACAAUGGCCACAGGAAAGCAUUCAGGCGGGACUCCAGCCAUGCUGGCCUGCCCUCCAUUCCCAGCGCCUCUGUGGGCCCCACCUCCCUCUGACUAAGGUACCCCUGAGCAACCAGCCCACACAAGACGAAGCCACUGGACACUGAUCUCUGGACAACAGGCCAGUCCAGUGCCAUUCGCAGUGGACCCCUUGGAUGCCCCCAUGGCUCAUAUGUCACAUAGCUGUCUACCUUGGUGCCUUUCCCUACCAUCAUGUGUCUAUUGUGUGACACUCUCUCUGUGAGUUGGAGCAUGUACAUUGUAUAAUAUUUUCUGAAAUGUGGCAGUAUCAAAAUAUAAAGGGCACAUAUACUUGGUUGCAAACAAAUUGCACUACUAGGAAUUUACUAUAUGGUUAAGAUGUAAGAGUUCCCAAAGAAAUAUGUACAAGAAUGUUCAUCAGAGUGUUUCUUUUUAAGAAUGUAAAGAAGUGGGACUGAGCCUAUGGUCAAUUCAUACUGUGAAAUACUAUGCAGCUACAAAAAUUGAUGUGGUAGGUCUCUAUGUAUUAGCUGCUGUGGGAGGCUGGCCAGUAUCUAUUCUUGGGUGGCUAGAAUAAAUCACACAACAGGUAA
rnacentral:lncRNA from 1 species